rnacentral:rRNA from 1 species
UACGGAGGUGGCAAGCGUUGUUCGGAAUUACUGGGCGUAAAGGGCGCGUAGGCGGCUUGGCAAGUCAGAUGUGAAAGCCCCGGGCUUAACUCGGGAAUUGCAUCUGAAACUGCUUUGCUUGAGUUCUGGAGGGGGUAGUGGAAUUCCCAGUGUAGCAGUGAAAUGCGUAGAUAUUGGGAGGAACACCUGCGGCGAAGGCGGCUACCUGGACAGUAACUGACGCUGAGGCGCGAAAGCUAGGGGAGCGAACGGGAUUAGAUACCCGAGUAGU